rnacentral:rRNA from 1 species
CUGAAAACCUAGCCUAAUAAUCAACUCACAAUACACACCCACAAGCCAAAAUAUUUUAACAAUUUAGUACAGAAGAUUAAAAAAUUAAUUAGAGCUAUAAACAUGUACCGCA